UACGAAAGGUGCAAGCGUUACUCGGAAUCACUGGGCGUAAAGCGCACGUAGGCGGACUCGCAGGUCAAUUGUGAAAUACCCGGGCUCAACCCGGGAACUGCAGUUGAAACCGCUUGUCUUGAAUACCUGAGAGGGUGGGGGAAUACCUGGUGGAGAAGUGAAAUUCGUAGAGAUCAGGUGGAACACCGGAGGCGAAGGCGCCUGCCUGGCAGUGUAUUGACGCUGAGGUGCGAAAGUGCGGGGAGCAAACAGG
rnacentral:rRNA from 1 species